UUGAUAGGCUGCAGGUGUAAAGGUGGUAACACCAAAGCCGAGCAGUACUAAUUACCCGAGACUUUC
rnacentral:rRNA from 1 species